CGCUCUUAAAAACCUAAAUGUCUUUUUUUAUAAUUUUUGUAUUCAAUCUCUCAGUGUGAAUAGUACAUACUACUCUCCCCUGGAUCCCUGGUUGAAGGCCUGUGAAGAGGUACCUGGAAUGUCUGAGCACCACAUAGCAGACCGAGAUGAACAGGUGUGUGACGAGGCCUGCCCUCCCCAGCUCAAUGCACAGACGCUAACAUAGAGCCCCACUCUCAGGUGUGUGACGUGGCCUGCCCUCCCCAGCUCAAUGCACAGACGCUAAGAUAGAGCCCCACUCUCAGGUGUGUGACGUGGCCUGCCCUCCCCAGCUCAAUGCACAGACGCUAAGAUAGAGCCCCACUCUCAGGUGUGUGACGUGGCCUGCCCUCCCCAGCUCAAUGCACAGACGCUAAGAUAGAGUCACACUCUCCCUGGAUAUUGUCUGCUGAAUAGACAUCACUAGUGUGGAAGACACACUGUGGCUGAGUGUCAGUACACUAAAAAGGCAGUGCCUCUUGAGUAUCAAAAGGAAGAAAUAUGAAUCAGUUUUGUGGUCAGGCCAUAUCAGGUUUUAAU
ensembl:lncRNA